GAUGAACGCUGGCGGCGUGCCUAACACAUGCAAGUCGAACGGAGUCCAGCCUUAGAGACCUUCGGGUCAAAGAGGGGAAGACUGAGUGGCGGACGGGUGAGUAACACGUGGGCAACCUGGCUCAUAGAGGGGGAUAACAGAGAGAAAUUUCUGCUAAUACCGCAUAAGCACACACUGCCGCAUGGCAGAGUGUGAAAAGAGAAUCGCUAUGAGAUGGACCCGCGUCUGAUUAGCCAGUUGGCAGGGUAAGAGCCUACCAAAGCGACGAUCAGUAGCCGAUUUGAGAGAAUGAACGGCCACAUUGGGACUGAGACACGGCCCAAACUCCUACGGGAAGCAGCAGUGGGGGAUAUUGCACAAUGGGGGGAACCCUGAUGCAGCGACGCCGCGUGAGUGAAGAAGUAUUUCGGUAUGUAAAGCUCUAUCAGCAGGGAAGAUAAUGACAGUACCUGAAUAAGAAGCCCCGGCUAACUACGUG
rnacentral:rRNA from 1 species